rnacentral:rRNA from 1 species
UGAGGAACAUGACCUUCGGCGGGGGAUAGCCGGCCCAACGGCCGGGUAAUACCGCGUACGACCACAUGGGGACAUCCCUGAGUGGUGAGAGCAGCAAUGCGCCGAUGGAGUGCCUCGCGGCCUAUCAGCUAGUUGGUGAGGUAACGGCUCACCAAGGCGACGGACGGGUAGCUGGUCUGAGAGGAUGGCCAGCCACAGUUGGGACUGAGACACGGCCCAGACUCCGUAACGGGG